rnacentral:rRNA from 1 species
AUCUACAGCCAUGCUACCCUGAACAAGCCCAAUCCCGUCUGAUCUCGGAAGCUAAGUAGGGUCAGGCCUGGUUAGUACUUGGAUGGGAGACCACUUAGGAAGACCAGGUAGAAA